rnacentral:piRNA from 1 species
UNGGCCACUAACAUGACCUAGAGAUGCUUC